rnacentral:rRNA from 1 species
UGCUGGAAUGAAUGGUUGGACGAGAUAUAGACUGUUUCAAUUUUAUUUAUAGUAGAAUUUAAUUUUUUAGUUAAAAAGCUAAAAUUUAUUUAAAAGACGAGAAGACCCUAUAAAUCUUUAUAGUUUUUAUUUUUUUAUUUUUAAGAUGUAUUUUAUAUUAAAAUAUAAACCUAUUUUAUUGGGGUGAUAUUAAAAUUUAUUUAACUUUUAAUUUUUAGAAACAUUAAUUAAUGUAUAAAUGAUCCAUUAUUAGUGAUUAUAAGAUUAAGUUACUUUAGGGAUAACAGCGUAAUUUUUUUGGAGAGUUCAUAUCGAUAAAAAAGAUUGCGACCUCGAUGUUGGAUUAAGAUAUAAUUUUGGGUGCAGCCAUUCAAAUUUUAAGUCUGUUCGACUUUUAAAUUCUUACAUGAUCUGAGUUCAAACCGGCGUGAGCCAGGUUGGUUUCUAUCUUUAAUUUAUUAAAAUAUUUUAGUACGAAAGGAUUAAAUAUUUAAAUUAUUAAAUUUUUAUUUAUGAAUUUUAUUAAUACUAUUUU